CUCUUUUUUUCCUGUAUUUAACAGCUCUUUUUAACACAAAAAGAGCUGGAUUUGCAACUCUCCUCCUGAAGGCUCAGGGCCAUGGUUCUUACUGACCACCAGGACGUAGCAUCCACUUUUCACACUAGUAUUGCUUUCUCUUGUUUGUAGAAAUGUAGGUAUUUCCCUGUCUUUAAUUAUUGCAUUAGUCUUCUAGUCACCAUGACCCUAGGAGAAAUGUAUUUUCUCACAGUUCUGGAGCCUGGAAGUCCCAGAGCAAAGCACCGGCAGGUUGGGUUUCUUCCGCAGUCUUUCUCCUCGGCUUGCAGACAGCUACCUUCUCACUGCAUCUUGUAGGGUUUUGUUCUGUGUCCAAGCACCAACCACCGCCUGCCCUGGUGUCUCCAUGUCCGGAUUUCCUCUUCUUGUAGGAACCCCAGCCAGACUGGAUCAGGGCCCAUCCUAACAGCCUCAUUUAACCGUAAUCACCUCUUUAAGGCCCCGUCUCCAAACACAGUCACAUUCUGAAGUACUGGGGCCUAGAAUGUCAACAUAUGAAUUUUGGGGAGACACAAUUUACUCCAUAACAACUAUACAAGUGAGGUUUUGGAGUUUUUGAAGUUAUUUCUGUGUUUCUAAUUUAAGCUGACAGAAGUCCUCUAUGCUAAUUUCAAAGUGUUUCAAACAUUAUCUGAAAAUAUUCAAGACCCCACUCCCCAAGCUCACAAUAAAGUUCUAAGCUUUUCAUAACCUUUUUUUUUCCCCCUGGGAUACAAGAGAUUGGCUGUAAGAUUUCAGAUGGCACUAUUUCUGGGAAGGAGAAUAGAUUUUCAGAUAUUAGAUUUAAGUAAAUACUAAUUUUGGCAUCUUUGCUGCUUUCAGCACAAGCAAAUGGAAAGAAAGCAUCUGGGAAUCUGACCUGUGUCUAAGUGCUGCCAUACUGGCCUGACCCUUCACUACUGAGCUUCUUUGAACAAGUUAUUUAAUCUUUCUGAACAUCAAAGGUGUCGCUGAGAGUCUCAAUCAGACUGAAAGCCCCUGCCCUGCCGUGGAAGCUACUCUGAACUCAACAGAAACAUGAACUACACUUGUCAUUACAGCAAGUGAUUUGUUCAGCUGCUUGGCUCCAAUCUUGGCCUCACACGCUUCCUCUGGGAUGAAAAAAGUCAGUGAAGGUGGGCAAAUGUAUAGUGACAGUACAGAGUGGAAGGAAGUAACUUAUCUCUUUUGGGCACAUUGAAAAAAGCAACAUCUUCCCUUUUGUAAAUAAAUAAUACUAAAGACUGAGUUAAGAAAAUGGAGCUACAAACAAACUGAAACAAAACUUAGUCAUCAUGAUGUGAUUUAAGGGGCUGAGAACAUAAGGUAAAGAUAAAAAUCAAACUUGUGUACAGAAAGAGAAGAAGGACUCAGGUCAGUUUAGUUACACAGUAAGCUAACCAAGAUCUCAACAUCCAUACCAUGAGAUAGCUUUCAUGAUGGAACUUCACCUGAACUGAACAUUACGUAGCACAACUUGUCAAGGGCAUGAAGAUUACAAGGGGGAGACAAAAUUCAAAAUAUUCAGGAUGAGGUGUUAAAAGAAGAAAUUACAGAUUUUGUGUCUGAAUAUUAAUUGGGGGAAAAAUGCACCCCCCCUUAAAAAAAACAACAGUACUUUCUAAAACCAAGAAAAACUAUGUCUUAAAAAUCUCUCUCUUCUUUCAAGAUGAAUGUUAUGUUUGUAUGAGCUGUUGUCAGUGAUUAUAUUGACAAUAUUUCAGGCUACUUUAUAAAUUAUACUCUUUAACAUGAUUAAAUUACGAUUUCAGCAAAGUCAGUGGUGAAAAGAUAAACUGGUCUGUAUUACCUGGAUUAUUUUCUUUAAUGGUAACUAAAUAGAAUAAUCCUCUUGGUGACAGAAGAUCUGCAGCCAGUGGGAAGAACCUGUCCAUGACUUCUCGACCAUUUCUGCCACCGGCCCAAGCAGCCUCUACUCCGUGACUUCCCACCUACAGGAUUAUGUUCUACAUUCUUGCACCAUAUCUUGCUUUUGUCAAUCAUCAACACUUUAUGGAGAGCUCUUCAUGUGAUCAGGGUAUUUUUCAGGGUAAGAUGUGAUUUAAAGUCUUCUUCCUUUGACUCCUCUGAUGAUUGAAUUAAGUAAGUAUUUUAAAAAAAUCGUGUCUGGUCGUGUCACCCUGCACCUUCACAGGCACAGUAAAGUGAAAACAUGGUAUCUGGGUGGAUUCUCACCUCUAAAGCCAUUUCCUUCAAUUAUCACUUUGUACAGACUCUCACCCAUGACUUCUGAGGUUGUUUCUUGAGAUGGAAUAGCUGAGGUACUUCACGGCAGUGUCCAAAGUGUUAGCUCUCUCAUUAACAUUCUUGCAAUUUCCCCAUUUAUGCACACGCACUUACCAUUUUUUACUAUUUUUCUUUAAAUGGGCUUUUUUUUUGUUGUUAAAUAAAUUUGCUGUAAAGGGAAAUCACUAUUAAUUUCUGGAAAUAGAAAUGACUACAAGGAUAAAUGAGAUAAGAAUUAAAAAAAAAGUUACAGUUAAUCAUUACUGUUGCCAGGCUGAGAGUGACCCAAGCCAUCUGUCUCUAUUAGAGAGACAUCUGUAAGUGUUUAAAAGGUGUUAAAUAACAACAACAAACUGAGACCUUCUCCUGGAUGUAAUCACAAUGGCUGAAAGAGAAUUAAAGAGGAAACAGCUUUGACAUUAUAUGAUUCAAAGUUAUUUAAAACUCAGCCAUACCUUCUAAUGUUGGGCACAUCACUGGCCUAUUAUUUACAUACAUUAUGAAACACUGCCUUAGAGCUUCCAUUUUACCCUGUUUCUAAAAGAAAUACUACUUUUAUCAUUUUUAAGCCUGUUAACUAUGUAGUUCAAAGAGAAUACUGGAACAGUGUCUUUGAGGAGAUGUUGUAAGGUAACUUUUUUUUCUCCAUUCUUUUCAAAAGAGAAAAGUGCCAUUUUUGAGGAAAGUAAUGAAGAUGCAUCCUUGUCUGCAAGUAGAAGAUGACUAAGGUUAAUCUGCUGUUCCCUUUAGGAGCAACACUGGAGAGUGAGGAAAUACAUCUGUAACAGCCGAGAGCUUUAUUUUCAAUUCCAUAAAGAAAUUAAGCUUCUCACAUUGUAAAAAGAAGUCCGGAAGGUAAUUUUCCAGAAAUGUUCAGUAAGGAAACUAGAAAAGAAUUUGCUUUGCAAUUGUUUACAAUGGCCCUGAGGUACUAUAUACUAAUAAUCAUUGCAAUACUGGAUUUUAAAUAAAGGAAAAAACUGAUGGAUUUAAAUAAAGGAAACAACAUGGAAAAUAAUGUAGUUUAAAAGAAAAUGGAUUUAAAUGAGAAAAUUACUGAUAUAAAGUCUAAUCACAGGCAUCCCUCACCCACUCAUAUUCAGCUUUUGUGUGGUCUCAGGGCAUUAGAACAGAUCCAAGAACUGGGAAGUAAGCAAAGAGGCCUCUGACAAGAAGUUUUAAAUCCGUAUAGCAAAACAUGUGCUAUUUAUUCAUGAGAGGUACUUGUUCAGAGCCCCUGAACUCUUAGUUUAAAUACAAGUCUAACUAAAUCACUUGUUUGGUAUUCUAGCACAGAGCACAUGAAGAGAGAGAGGAAAUGCCACUAACAGGUAGCAGUAAAAUAAGACAGCAUAAAGCAGGUAAAAGGAGAAGAUGAGGAGGAGAGGAAAUAAGAACUCAAAUCUCUGCAGGCUAUAGCCCCUCAGCGUGAAGGCAGAAACACCUGAAUAAGCCUCUUUAUCACAGCACAGGAUGAUAAAUGAUGUGCACAUUAACGGCCCUGAGUCAGUAAAAGGUAGUUACGUUUAGUUUGUUUUAGGAAUGUAAGGAAAGGCAUACGAUGCAUUUGAAAAAGUCUUUCUUCUAAAACUAAAAAAAGAAACAAAGCAAAAGUACUACUUUGUAAACAGGUAGGCUUAGUUACCCAAAACAAUGAUUUUAUUGUGAUAAUCUAUGCCUAGUGUUCUGAAUAUAAACAAACGUAGAGUUUUGUAUAUUGAUCAUAAUACCUAUGUUCAUGCUCACCUCUUCUUUCUUUGCCACACGUCAGCAUGAAGAGCUGACUCCGGCAUGGGCUACCACGAGCCAUGUCCUGAAAGUUGUGAGACACCUACACUUAGAUUCCCAAGAUCUGGAUUUAAAUUCUGGAUUUAUCGGGGUGCCUGGGUGGCUCAGUUGGUUGAGCGUCCAACUUCAGCUCAGGUCAUGAUCUCGCGGUCUGUGAGUUCGAGCC